rnacentral:rRNA from 1 species
UCAAGGAAGAAAGGGCGUACGGAGAAUGCCUGGGCACAGAGAGGCGAUGAAGGACGCAGCGAACAGCGAAAUGCGGCGGCGAGCGGUAAGCACGCGAUGACCCGCCGAUAUCCGAAUGGGGAAACCCCUCCGCUCAAGAAGCGGAGACCGCAUGACGACCGUCAUGACGGGGCAAUACGCAGGGAACUGAAACAUCUAAGUACCUGCAGGAAGAGAAAGAGAAGUCGAUUCCGUAAGUAGCGGCGAGCGAAAGCGGAGGAGCCCAAACCGGACAUAGUCCGGGGUUGUAGGACCGCCGAUAAAGAUGAGAUGAAGAGUCAGGAGAAUCCCAUGGGAAGGGGAUCCGAAGAGGGUGAGAGACCCGUAUCCGAAGGCUUGACAUGCGUCGAGGCGGCACCUGAGUACGGCGGGGCACGUGGAAUCCUGCCGGAAUCAUCGGGGACCAUCCCGAAAGGCUAAACACUACUCUGUGACCGAUAGCGAACCAGUACCGUGAGGGAAAGGUGAAAAGAACCCCGGGAGGGGAGUGAAAGAGAACCUGAAACCGCAUGCCCACAAGAAGUCAGAGCCCGUCAAAGGGUGAUGGCGUGCCUUUUGUAGAAUGAGCCGGCGAGUCACGAUCAGCAGGCGAGGUUAAGCAGGAGAUGCGGAGCCGCAGCGAAAGCGAGUCUUAACAGGGCGUAAUAGUCUGAGGUCGUGGACCCGAAACCGGGUGAUCUAGCCAUGAGCAGGUUGAAGUCGGGGUAAGACCCGAUGGAGGACCGAACCGACCCCCGUUGAAACGUUGGCGGAUGACUUGUGGCUAGGGGUGAAAUUCCAAUCGAACCCGGAGAUAGCUGGUUCUCCCCGAAAUAGCUUUAGGGCUAGCGUCGCAGCGAGAGAGCCGUGAAGGUAGAGCACUGAAUAUGCGAUGGCCGCAUCCCGCGGUACUGAGCAUAAUCAAACUCCGAAUGUCACGGUGUCAUCUGCGGCAGUCAGACGGCGAGUGAUAAGGUCCGUCGUCAAAAGGGAAACAGCCCAGACCAUCAGCUAAGGUCCCAAAGUGCAUGCUAAGUGGAAAAGGAAGUGGAGACGUGCAGACAACUAGGAGGUUGGCUCAGAAGCAGCCAUCCUUCAAAGAGUGCGUAACAGCUCACUAGUCGAAUGACUCUGCGCCGAUAAUUUACCGGGGCUAAGCAUGACACCGAAGCUAUGGACAGGAAUGUGGUAGGGGAGCAUUGCAUGCAGCGGAGAAGCAUGACCGGAAGGGCAUGUGGAGCGCAUGGAAGAGAGAAUGCCGGCGUGAGUAGCGGCACGUGGGUGAGAAUCCCACGCACCGAUGGCCCAAGGUCUCCAGAGGAAGGCUCGUCCUCUCUGGGAUAGUCGGGACCUAAGGCGAGGCCGAAAGGCGUAGCCGAUGGACGACGGGUGGAUAUUCCCGUACCCGAUGUGUGGCGAUGGAGUGACGGAGAAGGCUCAGGCAACCAGCUGCUGGAAUAGCUGGGGCAAGCGAGAUACCUGCGCACCAGGGAAAUCCGGUGCGCAUAAGGGGAAGGCGCGAUGCAUACGGAAAGCUUCGGCAAGUACGGAAAAGCUGAGAGCAGGCUUCCAGGAAAAGCUUCUAGCACAACACACAUCGGCCCGUACCGAAAAUGGACACACAUGGGCAAGGAGAGAAUCCUGAGGUGAGCGAGAGAACUAUAGCUAAGGAACUCUGCAAAAUGACUCCGUAACUUAGGGAGAAGGGGUGCUCCAGAAAUGGAGCCGCAGUAAAACGGCCCAAGCGACUGUUUACCAAAAACACAGCUCUCUGCGAAGGCGCAAGCCGAAGUAUAGGGGGUGACGCCUGCCCGGUGCUGGAAGGUCAAGGGGAGCUGUCAGCGCAAGCGAAGCAGCGAGCCGAAGCCCCAGUAAACGGCGGCCGUAACUAUAACGGUCCUAAGGUAGCGAAAUUCCUUGUCGGGCAAGUUCCGACCCGCACGAAAGGCGUAACGAUUUGGGCGCUGUCUCAGCUGUAGACUCGGUGAAGUCUUAGUACCUGUGAAGAUG